CACAUGGGCAGGCAGGGUGUCUGCUGUCAUCACAGACAGUUCUAGAGGUGCCCCCAACAGAGCGGCUCAGCUGUGGCAUAGGGCCAAAAACAGUGGAACAUUUCUUCAUUGCAGGUUGCUCUGCACAGAGGAGGUAAAAUGAUUUCCUGCUGGCUCUGUAAGUCGGGAUCUCAGCAGCCUGAGGCAGGGAGUAAGUUAAUGCUGUGAUGUUCUGAUUCUGAUGCAACGCAAAGGGCAGCAGGUGUCUGCAGGAAAACACAUCUUGAAUACAUCAGGAGCAUCCCAACACUCAGACUGUGCUCUUCACAUCUACAGUAAGAUUCACCUGUCUCACAUGCUGAGGUUAAUUGAAGAUUUGAACAUAAUUACUGCAUCCCAAGUGCUCCACAGCUGGUGUCCAGAAGUUGAAGGACAAAGCUAA
rnacentral:lncRNA from 1 species